rfam:Salmo salar isolate Sally breed double haploid chromosome ssa08, whole genome shotgun sequence.
AAUGCACCAAUUUGUGGGUCGCUCUGGAUAAGAGCGUCUGCUAAAUGACUUAAA